UACAUAUGUUCUCUUAAAUUCGAUUGAAUGAUGAUUUAGCAAACAAAAUCGCUGCACUUGCUUCGGAAACAAUAGAUGCUGAUAAGCCAUGCACUUUACUCAUAUAAUGCCACUGCAAUAGUUAAUGCUAGUUGAUCAAUUGCAACGAUGAGUGCCAGACGCAGUAGCAGCAGCGGCAGCAACAACAUUAUUUGCCAAGUGCGUUGUGGCAUCUGCUUGGAACAUUACACGGCCACAGAUAUCGUCCUGGCUGCCAAAUGUGGACACCUUGUUCACGGCACUUGCCUCAAUGAGUGGCAAAAACAGUCAAGGGAUUGCCCUAUUUGCCGCAAGAGAAAUGACGAUUAUUUCCAAAUCUAUUUGGACAUGGACGCAACUCCCUCACCUUCAAGCCGGACGCAGAGCUAUAGACAAAGCCAAGGCCAAGGCCAAAGACAGAGCCAAAGUCUGCACCAAGUUCCUAGCAGCCACAAUCGAAGGCAGACCCAAUGUCACCAUCACAACCAAUGUCAACCUCGAUUUCGAUUUCCGGACUCCGACGACGAUGAGGAUGAACACCAUUCGUAUGAGAAUAUGAUACUGCAACAAACCCUUUUCCGAUCCGAGAUAGAGUAUUUGAACACUCGCUUUCGGAAUUUUACGUCGAUGUUUGAUGACCUGAUUAGUUUCAUUUCAUAUUAACAAACCAAAUGUGUAUAUGUAUGUCGGGUUAUUAUUAUUUUCUUCCAAAUUAUAUUACGCGGAUUGUAUACGGCGAAUAAACUUGAUCACGCCACUGCCAACUUAGAAGUGUUCGCCAACCUUUUUGCAUACCGAAAAUGCUCUUCAGAAAAGCUGCAACGAACAUACUUCUAUCUCUGUCUCUCGCAGUGGCUCAAGCAUACACGCACAACAAUCGUAGUGUGUAUCUCUUUCGAACCUCUAUCCUCACGCAACAUCUCUCUCUCAUGUUCGCAUCGAUCUAUCCUGACCAUCUGGCGAAUAGAAGGAUCAAAGCGUACUAACAAACAACCGUUAUAGUGUAGAGACAAGAAAUGUCACUUGGUACGCGUAUUUGAUUUAAGUCUUUUACACUGACUACCAUAAUUUAAGAUCCGACAUAUAUUUAUACACACAUACAUAUACAAUAUGUAAAAUAAAUAAUUGGGAAUUCCGGAAUAUCGCACAAAGCUAACAAAAGUCAAGAAUAUUUAUUUUGUUGACACUUAACAUUUCCUAAAUGUUAUGCGAAACUUAAAUAAGUAGACUUAAUAAAUAUGUUAAUAAAUUAAUUAAACAUAUGUAUGUAUACGAAUAGUUUGUUUACUUUUUAAGUUUGGUGUAAACACUUGCAUUACAGAAUUAAUGCUUUCAAACCGAUGUGGGAGAGAAAAUAAAUAAUUUGUAUUUUUGUGGUAUAUUUCGCUAACGGUGUGCAGGUCACACUGUUUCAGUUCAAGUUUGUGUUCAUUUCGAGAUUGAAAAAUACGGUAAUUCUCCCUUCAGGCUUAUGAACAAUUAGCCAAAAUUGUAUAUUGCCAUUUAGUUAAAAGUGCACAAAAGUUUAUCUUAGUUAAUCGUUGAUUGGCAAGAUGAGUAUCCCAAACAGCGGCCAGACAAUUUGCUUAGUCCGUUGUGGCGUCUGCUUGGAGAAUUAUACAACGAGCGAUGCAAUAUUCACUGGCCAAUGUGGGCACUUGUUCCACAAGAUGUGCCUGGAUCAAUGGCACACGCAG